rnacentral:rRNA from 1 species
GAUGAACGCUGGCGGCGUGCCUAAUACAUGCAAGUCGAGCGAACAGACGAGGAGCUUGCUCCUCUGACGUUAGCGGCGGACGGGUGAGUAACACGUGGAUAACCUACCUAUAAGACUGGGAUAACUUCGGGAAACCGGAGCUAAUACCGGAUAAUAUAUUGAACCGCAUGGUUCAAUAGUGAAAGACGGUUUUGCUGUCACUUAUAGAUGGAUCCGCGCCGCAUUAGCUAGUUGGUAAGGUAACGGCUUACCUAGGCGACGAUCCGUAGCCGACCUGAGAGGAUGACCAGCGACACUGGAACGGAGACACGGUCCAGACGCCGACGGGAGGCAGCAGGGGGGAAGAUGGCACAAUGGGAGCAAGCAUGAUGCAGACAUGCAGCGUGGAUGAAGAAGGCCUUAGGUGUGUAAAGUACUGCCAGCGGGGAGGAAGGGAGUAAAGUUAAUACCGUUGCUCAGUGACGUUACCCGCAGAAGAAGCACCGGCUAACUCCGUG